UGCUGAAUUAUUCGCCAAUGCGCGAAAGCGUGACGGUGCGACGCCGCGUGCGGGACGAAGGCCUUCGGGUUGUAAACCGCUGUCAGGGUAUAGAAAACCUUUCGGGUUAAUAGCCCGGAAGCUGAUCAUACCCAAAGGAAGCACAGGCUAACCUCGUGCCAGCAGCCGCGGUAAUACGAGGUGUGCAAGCGUUGUUCGGAAUUACUGGGCGUAAAGGGCGCGUAGGCGGUUGUGUUAGUCAGAUGUGAAAUACUUCAGCUUAACUGAAGAACUGCAUUUGAUACUGCACGACUAGAGUACAGGAGAGGGAAAUGGAAUUCCCGGUGUAGAGGUGAAAUUCGUAGAUAUCGGGAGGAACACCAGUGGCGAAGGCGAUUUCCUGGCCUGAUACUGACGCUGAGGCGCGAAAGCGUGGGGAGCAAACA
rnacentral:rRNA from 1 species